GCGCUCCCCGCACACGUACACACACACACUCACGGGACUUCUCCGGCUCAUCGAGGGAGUGCAGGGCCCGCGGACAGCCCCCAAUGUCGGCUCAGGUCUCCGGCUGUGCUGGCGGCAGCGGCGUCUCCGAGGCUCUCGCUUUGCCGCAGUCGCCGCCAUGUAACCCCGACCCGCGGAGAGAGGGCGAGGGAGAGGGGGCGGGGUAUCCAUGAGCCACGCCCCCUCGCGUCACAGGCUCACUCCACGGGUUCCCCCGCCCCCGCUCAGCCCCCAGCUCUUUCACGCGCCGGAAUUUCCAACGCUGGUGGCUGGGUUCCGCGCGCUGCGGGGGCGGCGGGAAGGGCACGCGGUCUCUCGUAAGACGCCUCAGGUGGGCUGGGCCGGAGGCUGGCUGGAAGGUGGGCAGACGGGCCUUCUGUCCUCUGCCCUUGCCACGUCUCUACAGCACAAACUGAUCAAACUCCUUGCUACUGUUUAUUGCGUACCAACGACGGGCCAUCCACUGGGCCAUCCAAGAGGAGUGAGCCUUCGCCCCUGUGCUUAGGAAUGGGCCUGAAGAUGGGUUGGCUAGAAGGCAGCAGCCAGAGUACGAAGCCAGCGCAGUUAGCGGCCGAAAGCUAAGAAGGUCAUUAAUUCCACCUUCGGGUGUGGAGGAGGGCUUCUAAGUGAGGUCGCCACCGGUGACCUUUCAGCUGGAUCCGAAGAAGCAGAUAUAACCAGAGGAGGAAGACCUGAAGAAUGCAGUGUCUACCAAAGCAAAGAAGAAUGUGUGGGUCAACAGCACCAGAAGCACUGUGAAGUCUAGUGGUGGCUUACUUUUGAAGGCUGGACUUAUGUUACCCCAGGAGGAGAGGCUCAUGAGAAACCUGGAGAAGCUGUUCUUCAACCAAAAUGAAGUGGAUCCAAGAACAGCACAGAGAACGAACAUGGAGAUGAGUCUUCCUUUGCAAGACUUCUUGUCCUGGCUCCCUGGAGGAUUGCCAGCAGGCAGCCGUCUGUUACCAACUCCUGCGGAGAGCUGCCUCAUCAAAGCUCAUGCCCUUUGGGGCCAGGCCAUGCCCAGUGCCUUAUCCGGGUAAAACCCAGCUCUUUCAGCCUGAUUUGGGACAGUAACAAAGGGCCAUUUUAACUCCAUUGCUCCUCCUGGGGUUAAUUAAGGCUACUGGGCCUUCCUUACACGCAGUUUGCUUUUUCCUUCUGUCUAAGCCUGU